AAUGGGCGAAAGCCUGACGGAGCAACGCCGCGUGAGGGAUGAAGGCCUCUGGGCUGUAACCUCUUUUAUCAAGGAAGAAGAUCUGACGGUACUUGAUGAAUAAGCCACGGCUAAUUCCGUGCCAGCAGCCGCGGUAAUACGGGAGUGGCAAGCGUUAUCCGGAAUUAUUGGGCGUAAAGCGUCCGCAGGCGGCCCUUCAAGUCUGCUGUUAAAAAGUGGAGCUUAACUCCAUCAUGGCAGUGGAAACUGUUGGGCUUGAGUGUGGUAGGGGCAGAGGGAAUUCCCGGUGUAGCGGUGAAAUGCGUAGAUAUCGGGAAGAACACCAGUGGCGAAGGCGCUCUGCUGGGCCAUCACUGACGCUCAUGGACGAAAGCCAGGGGAGCGAAAGGGAUU
rnacentral:rRNA from 1 species